UACGUAGGGCGCAAGCGUUAUCCGGAAUUAUUGGGCGUAAAGAGCUCGUAGGCGGUUUGUCGCGUCUGCUGUGAAAGUCCGGGGCUCAACUCCGGAUCUGCGGUGGGUACGGGCAGACUAGAGUGAUGUAGGGGGAGACUGGAAUUCCUGGUGUAGCGGUGAAAUGCGCAGAUAUCAGGAGGAACACCGAUGGCGAAGGCAGGUCUCUGGGCAUUAACUGACGCUGAGGAGCGAAAGCAUGGGGAGCGAACAGG
rnacentral:rRNA from 1 species